rnacentral:rRNA from 1 species
AACGAACGCUGGCGGCAUGCCUAACACAUGCAAGUCGAACGAAACCUUCGGGCCUUGUGGCGCACGGCUGCGUAACGCGUGGGAACCUGCCCUUAGGUUCGGAAUAACUCCCUGAAAGGGGUGUUAAUACCGGAUAAUGUCUUCGGACCAAAGAUUUAUUGCCUUUGGCUGGGCCCGCGUUGGAUUAGGUAGUUGGUAGGGUAAAAGCCGAUCAAGGCGACGAUCCAUAGCUGGUCUGAGAGGAUGAUCAGCCACACUGGGAAUGAGACACGGCCCAGACUCCUACGAAAGGCAGCAGUAGAGAAUAUAGGACAAUGGGCGAAGGCCUGAUCCAGCAAUGACGCGUAAGUGAUGAAGGCCUUAGGGUUGUAAAGCUCUUUUACCCGGGAUGAUAAUGACGGUACCGGGGGAAUAAGCUCCGGCUAACUCCGUG